rnacentral:lncRNA from 1 species
AAAAGCUGCACCCUGGGCAGUAUAGGGGCUCCCGCCUGUCAUCGCAGCCCUGUGGGAGGCUGAGGCAGGCCGAUCACUUGAGCUCACGAGUUCAAGACCAGCUGGGUAACUUGGAGAAACCCCGUCUCUACUAAAAUACAAAAUUAGUUGGGUGUGGUGGUGCGCACCUGUAGUCCCAGCUACUUGGGAGGCUGAGGUGGGAGGAUGGCUUGAGCCCAGGAGACAGGCUGCAGUGAACUGCAAUCUCGCCUCUUCACUCCAGCCUGGGGAACAGAGCGAGACUGUCUCAAAAAAAAAAAAAAAAAAAAAAAAGGUUAUGGGCCUCGUGCCUUCUGCCCUUUCAUGGGACUGAGCCCUGGAAGUCCUGUGUGGCUGGUGACCCCAGGGGACAGGACCUGGCCCCUCUCUUCUAACCCAGCUGUGCCGGGGCUCACCUGGGGGCCUCCAGCAUGCAUGCGGGAGAUGCUGGGCCCUGGGGGUGUCUUUGAGAAAGGGGUGGAGGAGUGUGGAGCCCCUGGGGCUCCCUUGCAGGCCGUGAGAAACCUCCCCAGUGCCACUUAUGUCCUGGACUAGGGAGGUGGUGGGGAGAGGGAGAGGAGUGGCAGACAUGGAGGCAGUGACCACACGGGCAGGGGCAGGUAUGGGGAGGACCUGGCAGGCCCCAGUCCAGUGCUCGGGCAGGCUGGGCAGGGGUGCCCUUUGGAGGCUGGUCCUUCAGGGACCCCCUCCUGCCUCCUUCCUGGGGGGCGGGCUGGGAAGGUGGGGGCUAGGUGGGCCCGGCGCCGCGGUGCUGAUGCUCUCUGUCCCCACAGGAAAGAAUCUCUAUACAAAUGAAUACGUGGCUAUCAAAUUGGUGAGUCGGCCCCUCCACCCCACCCCCGCUGACGUACCCCCAGGGAUUUCAGGGCAGCUACCAGUGUCCCCGGUGACUCGAGCUUGUGCCCCCAGGAGCCGAUCAAGUCCCGGGCCCCGCAGCUGCACCUGGAGUACCGGUUCUACAAGCAGCUCAGCGCCACAGAGGGCGUCCCUCAGGUCUACUACUUCGGCCCGUGCGGGAAGUACAACGCCAUGGUGCUGGAGCUGCUGGGGCCCAGCCUGGAGGACCUGUUCGACCUGUGCGACCGGACCUUCACGCUCAAGACGGUGCUGAUGAUCGCCAUCCAGCUGGUGCGCGGCGGGCGGGCCGGGGCGGGGCGGGCUCCGGGGGAAGAGGGUGG